GUACACGCUGUGACUAGCAUAUCAAUAAGCGGAGGAAAAGAAACUAACAAGGAUUCCCCUAGUAACGGCGAGUGAAGCGGGAAGAGCUCAAAUUUGAAAUCUUAAAGGGUUUCCCUUUACGAAUUGUAGUUUAAAGAAGUGUUUUCUGUUGAGGUUUUGGUAAAAGUUCUUUGGAAUAGGACAUCAUAGAGGGUGAGAAUCCCGUAUUUGACCUUUACUUUCAACUUUGUGAUACACUUUCAAAGAGUCGGAUUGUUUGGGAAUGCAGUCCAAAAUGGGUGGUAAAUUUCAUCUAAAGCUAAAUAUUGGCGAGAGACCGAUAGCGAACAAGUACCGUGAGGGAAAGAUGAAAAGAACUUUGAAAAGAGAGUUAAACAGUACGUGAAAUUGUCAAAAGGGAAGCGUUUGACACCAGUGUUGUUUUUCUGAAAAUCAAUUAAAGAACUGUUUAUGCUAAGCUGUUUAGACUUUAUCAGCUAUCUGUUUAGUUUUGAGCUUUUCUUUAAUGCACUUUUCAGUUAACAAGUCAACAUCAAUUUCCUUUGCUGUAAAAAAGCUUGAGGAAGGUGGCUUGAGAUUCGUCUUAAGUGUUUAUAGCCUCUUGCCUAUGCAGUCGGAGAGAUUGAGGUCUGCAGCGUAGAUCCUUCGGGGCUAAAUGCAUUUGUGCUAAGUUAUAGCAUUUCAUAGACAACUUGUUGACUAUGAUUUGUCUUGUAGCUUACUCGCUUAUGUUAUUUUACCUACGCUUAGGAUGUUGAGCGCAUGUCUCUCUCU
rnacentral:rRNA from 1 species